GACGAACGCUGGCGGCGUGCCUAAUACAUGCAAGUAGAACGCUGAAGGAGGAGCUUGCUUCUCUGGAUGAGUUGCGAACGGGUGAGUAACGCGUAGGUAACCUGCCUGGUAGCGGGGGAUAACUAUUGGAAACGAUAGCUAAUACCGCAUAAUAGCAGUUGUUGCAUGACAACUGUUUGAAAGGUGCAAUUGCACCACUACCAGAUGGACCUGCGUUGUAUUAGCUAGUUGGUGGGGUAACGGCUCACCAAGGCGACGAUACAUAGCCGACCUGAGAGGGGGAUCGGCCACACUGGGACUGAGACACGGCCCAGACUCCUACGGGAGGCAGCAGUAGGGAAUCUUCGGCAAUGGACGGAAGUCUGAACGAGCAACGCCGCGUGAGUGAAGAAGGUUUUCGGAUCGUAAAGCUCUGUUGUAAGAGAAGAACGAGUGUGAGAGUGGAAAGUUCACACUGUGACGGUAUCUUACCAGAAGGGGACGGCUAACUACGUG
rnacentral:rRNA from 1 species